AGAAUUUCCACUGUUCCAGCUGAGCUUUUAUGAGGAGCAGACUUGAGAGAAACUGCCAAGAUUUUCUGGAGUACACAGGGCACACGGCCAGCUGAACACCCGCUUCCCCCACUCGCUGCUGCUGGGAAGAGAGCAAUGGACUCCGAAUACCUUCCAGCCGAAAGUCGUCCUCCUCUUCCUCGCUGAGCGUGUCUCUCAACACGUCGCCCACGAGCUCCUACAAGAAGACAGAGCAGAGGCAUUGAGCAGGGGUUGGGGGAGCCCAGUGCUGGGACGUUAAAAGCAGUGCCAUGAGGACCCUGGGCUGAUUCUUCUGAUUGGAAUUCAGGUCAACUGAGGCAGAUCCUAUUGCACCUGAAAAGUUAAGUGCCAAGGUGGGUCCCUCCUGCCCUUAACAUAAACCCACACGCAUCAGCACAACAUUCAGGCCACCACAGGCUAUGGCUCCACUGGGUCUUCCAUCAUGCCUCCCACAUUUCACCAACACACAUGCCUUCCGGAAACCAGCCUGAUUCCUUGCACACACCCUGCCUGUUCCCCACCAGUGAGUUAAGGAUAUCUGGGAUCUCAUCCCAACCAACCUGACCAGGAGAUGUCAAGUUAGCGAGGGGAGUGUUGCUGGUCCACAGGCUGGGAAAUUUCUAGGAUGUCAACAAAGGCCCCAUCUGUCUGACCCACCCUAGCAGGAUAACUCCAAAUAUGGAAGAAGCUAGACCAUACCUUGUCAAACUGUCUUCUGUAUUUAUUGGUAUUCUGCCAGAAGAGUUCUAUGAUCAAAGAAGAUUCUUUUAAACAAAGUUAAACAAGAUCUCUUACAGCAGGACUUAUCAGGACUUUUCCUAUGGUUCUAAACACUGAAUCUCCAAGUGCUGGCAUAUUUUGCAUUCUCCAAACUUAUUUAGACCAUGGAGCUUCGUUUUUCAAAAGUAUCACAUGAUACGCGUGUCCCAAGAAACCCACUUUAGGAAAUACUCCUGUUAUGGGAGGACAGACAAGGGUUUGGGGGAUGAUGAUGCUAUGGUAGCGGUUCUCAAAACACAAAAUGACAAGCAAUAAAAAAGCCCAAACUCAGCAGCUGUCACCAACUUCUCUUUGUGAAAAUAAAAGAGAAAAAAAACAAAAACAAAAACAAAACCCAACCCUCUCCUUAGGGGAAAAAAAAUUCUACACCUCAGAUGAUGCUUAAAAAAAAACCAGUCCUCUUCUUGAUGAACAAAAGAAAAAACACGGCUUUGUAUUGCUGAUCUCAUCAACUGGACACAGCUGGAGGCUCGGGAACAUUCUCACAUUCCAUCCUAAUGCCUGGCGAGCCAGUGCCUCAAUGUCCACCCUGGGACGAUGCUCACAUGUGUGUCCAGGAGGCACAUUCGAAUCCAGUGAUGUUUAGGGCAAUGCACUUCCUGUUAACCUGCAGUCAGGAACACCCUGGAUGCCCUCAAAGGCAUGUGGGCUGGAUCUCUGCAGAGGAGUGCCACACGAGAGGGACGCCAACAGAACAAGACAGACCUGCAGAUCUCCCGGGCAGAGGGCCAGACCACAGGACAGGCAAAGGAGCCCUCACAGGAAGACACGCAGACUGUGCUGCUACCUGUACACAGAGGAGAGCACCAAACCCAUGUAUGCCAUGAGAUUGUCCCCGUGUGGGUGAACAUGCGGAAGACGACAGCCACGGUGACUUCCAGAGAGGGGAGGGCAGA